rnacentral:lncRNA from 1 species
CUAACUUUGUGGAGCUGGUCAAAACUCUGCUCGAAGACCCUUCUGAGAAGAAGCACUUCUUCCAGGUGGUGUUCCCAAUACGUUACGGCCCUCGGUAUGACACAGCACUGCAGAUACUGGUGUGGGAGUUUCUCUCCCGACUGGAGGACCUGCUGCCUGUACCAGACCUCACAGAGACAGCAUCUUGUCUCAGCCUUGCCCCCGCUGACCUGGAGGAGUUCUGGCAUUCUGUCUCUGACCCCG